GAGGGCACGUUACCUGUUGGUUGUUAGACCAGUUUGAGUCGAUUACUUGACUUUGGCUAGGUUGAGGCCUGAUUGAGCUCGACAGAGAUACGCUGCAUACUCGUUGGGUAGCGCCACGAGUGCCACUCGGAGUCAGGCUUGUGCUUUUGCGGUUGCGCUGGUCGCUCAUGGCAGUUGGACUUGCUCUCCACGGACCAGUUAGAGUGGAUAGAGCCGAUAGUCACACGGCGGCAGGGACGGGUGUAUUUCACAGUCCCGGAUGGGUAUGCUUACCAGUCCCAUUUUGGAUUGGGUCAGACUUGACAUUUCCUACAGUUUGUUAGUGUAGAGCAUGAUAGUGUAGUGGAUGAUAGCGGUAGAGGUGUACUUCUGCUUUCCUACUAUCUUGCCUCCCUUCUGUAGACUUAGUGGGUGACGAUGUUUGUUUUGGCCGUACCCACUGAGGACUACUUAUUUUUACAGUAGCUUCUCACGCUCAGUUGUUACUUAUGUUUUGCAGAGCCACAGGUGCGGCUACUGCAUCUUUCGCCGACCAGGGAUCGAGGCGAAGGGCGUUGUGAGCUAGAGGGCCCUACACCGACAGUCAGAGCUUAGAGGCUUUUCGCCUACUGCAGGUAGUUGUUGUUUUGGAGUUUAUGUACAUAGUUGUUUAACUCGCCAGUGCGAGUAGCCUUUGUAUUUGGAUUCUAGCUAUGUAUAUGAAACUUCAUUAUUUAGUUUUUGAGCGGCUCUAUGCUACUGUUGUAGUUCAUUUUUCUACAGGUUCUUUGACGCUUCGUAUACAAGGAAAAAUUCUUUUGUAUACGGCGGAUCUGUCGGCUGCCGGGGAACGUGAUAUCCGGGUCGUGACAGAUUAAGUUGGUAUCAGAGCUUUGCUAUAGAUCGUUGGGACCUAGGAAACCUAAGUUUGGCAAACUUAGGAAAGCAAGACCGAGAGACGUGAUAUUAAUGCGAAAGUCAAUAUUAUUUGUUCUAACUCCUCCUAGAGUGGGUGUGAGUGAUUGAAGGAGUACCUGUUUUUGGCCUUGAGAAUUAUGUUGGCUGCAGACGACAUAAUUUUGGAGGGAAACAGGGACCGCCUCCAGACUUUCGUUGAUUGGGUCGAGAGUUGUGUGGUGGUAUCUGACCCGACUUGUUUCUUUUAAGCUAUGUAUCGUCGCCGAGGUCUACCGUCGCUGCGGGAUCGUGCGGGACCUUCUAGGAGUCUGAGCAGAUGGAGCAGGUACUCGGCAGGGCAGCAGAAGGACAGACCGGAGGCGAGUGCACCUGUUGUGGAGCCGAGUGUGCGGACCUGAGGCUAGCGCACCCCUGAUCUGAGUGCACAGUUGGUUGCGCUGACUGAAGGUGACGAGGCAGCAGGGGAGUUGUUGCCAGAGGUUGUGUGAGAGAUAGCUCAGUCACCGAGUUCAGCACCGAGAUGUACCAGAGCAGACUAUACCAUUCCCGAUACUCCAGUUGACAGCUCCAGUUGCAGCAGUUCCUCCGUGUAAGUAGCAGUCCUAGUAGCGCCUGUUGCGCCUGCUAGGGCAUUACCGUUGACUGAGGCCGGAGCAGACGGUGGACGGAGAGGUUAGCUCGUUUAAUCGCCGAUUUGAGUCACCGAUCUUCGAUGGCAGAGGCACUGAGACCUGGGUUGUUGAGGGAUGGUGGUCAGUGCAAUGGAGAGGUUAUUCCAGAGGAUCUGUACGUUCCAGAGGGGAGCAGGUACCUAGGGAGUACACUGUUUGUCAGGUGAUGCACGUGACUGGUGUGAGGAGAGCGAGGCGAGAUCAGGACUGGUGGCGGCGCAGUUAGUUGGGAUGAGUUCUGGGAAUGCUGUUAGUGGGAUGUAUUUUCCAACAGCAUGAAACAGAAGAUUUGAGGAGGAUUUGAGAGGAUCAGCAGGGCGAGCGGACAGUUCAGGAGUAUGUUCGGGAGUUUACUAGACUCCUGAACUGUGUUCGUUUGUACCAGAGAUGAGGCACAUAGGGUCUAUUUGUUUGAGCAGGGUUUGAGACCGACUGUUUCAGGUUCGUUAGGGCGCAGAGGUCAGGACUUUGACGCGUCAUUGAGCAGGCACUAUGGGAGGGAGAGAGGAGAGGUGUCGAUGCGGGAGAGGACUCAGGGGCGCGGACAGAGUCAGGAUAGGAAGCGCCUAGCUCCAGACGACGGAGGCCAGUCGAGUAGCAGACGUCCGCCGAGGCCUCCAACGAUCGCGUUCUCAGCGCGUGGUUUCGGGACGUCAGCGAUCCAGAGACUCCGUCAGCGAGGACAGCCAGAGAGGACGCCGCAGUGUGUGAUCUGCGGAGGACCACACUUGGCCAGACAGUGUGAGCAGAGGGAGGCGGUGCUACGGGUUGUGGUCAGCCGGGACACAUGAAGCAGCCUGUCCAGAGCAGAUCUCAGCCACCAUCAUCAGCUUCGGUCCACCAAGCACUCACCAGUCAUUCAGAGCAGCACGAGUUACCGCCAGGAGGAUAGGUCGUCCGAGUUGCCGCCGACAGGUUGAGCGACGACAGAGGCUCGAGUGGCAGAGUCUAUGCAGUCAGAUGGAGGACUCUACAGUAGCCGACGAGUGGUGGCAGGUAUCACUUUGAUAUUUCGGCAUUCGUACUCGUACUCUUUUUGAUACUGGAGCCUCGCAUUCUUUUGUUAGUCGAGUUUGCAUUGUUGCAUCGUUUAGAGUUAGGGGCAGUCACAGGCACGAGAAGGUGCAGAUUCCUGGACCAUGUUUUACAGGUUGCCAGAGUGUUGUUGGUCGUGUCCGGUACAGUUGGACUCGUGGGUCAUGCCCGCAGACCUGUUGUGUUAUGGCAGCUGCAGGACUUUGACGUCGUGCUCGGUAUGGAUUGGCUGGGCGGUACUAUGCUACGAUUCGGCUGUGGAGCGGGACGGUGACGUUCCGCGAGCCAGGCAGGAGGAGUUCAUUUCAGAGGCUGCAGGAGCACGUUGUUUGCCACCUGGAUAUCUUCGGCCGAGGGCGGCAGAUGCUGAGUAGUGGAUGUGUCACUUUUCUAGCGACUGUUUGUGGAGGUAUCUACGUGGCGGACCGGGAUUGAGGACAUUCAGUACUAUGUCGCGAGUUUCCGGAUGUAUUUUCCCCCUGAGUUGACUAUGUUGCGCCGGAGAGGGAGAUUGAGUUUUGUGAUUGAUGUAGUUCCUGGAACUGCCCACCAAUCUCAACGUACCUUAUUAUCGGAUGGGCGCCAGUAGAGCUGAGAGAGCUUAAAGGCAAGCUCAGAAUUUGAUGGAUAAAGGAUUUGUAAACCCAGUGUUCGCUUGGGGCGCCAGUGCUAUUUGUAAAGAAGAGGAUGGUUCCUCAGGUUAUGUGUGGACUUACGGGAGCUGAAUAAAGUGACCAUCAAGAAUAAGUAUCCCUUGCGCGCAUUGAUGAUUUUUUUGAUCAGCCUGCAGGGUUUAUGUCUUCUCGAGAUUGAUCUCCAGGUCAGGUUACCACCAGCUUGAGGGUGAGGCGAGGAUGUCCCCAAGACGGCUUUUCUGACUCGGUACGGGCAUUAUGAGUUCACAGUGAUGCCUUUUGAAUUGACGAAUGCCCUGCGCAUUCAUGGAUUUGAAUGAAAGAGGUUCAAGCUGUUCUUGGAUAGAUUUGUGGUAGUUUUCAUCGAUGAAUUCUUGAUUUACUCCCGGAGUGAUGCUCAGCACAAGGAGACUGAGGAUUGUGCUACAGCUUUUGCGAGAGAAGAAGUUGUUAUGCCAAGUUUGAAGAAGUGCGAGUUCUGGCUUACGGGAGUGUCGCUUUCUUGGGCCACGUGAUUUCUAAGCGGGGCGUAGCAGUGGACCGAAGAAGAUUGAAGCGAUUCGAGAUUGGCGGAGAGACCGGGACUGUGACUACGGUAGAGCUUCCUGGGACUAGGAUAUUACUGUCGGUUUGUGGAAGGUUUUGCGAGCUUUCCACACCCCUCACCGCUUGACGCGGAAGGGGAUUCGUUUUGUCUGGAGCGACGACUGUCAGAGGGCUUUGACGAGUUGAGAUGAGGUGACGUCGGCUCCUAUACUUGCUCUUCCAGGGUGAUGGGGGAUGGGUUUCGUGAUCUACAGUGAGCAUCGCACAGUGGACUUGGAUUGCGUGUGAAUGCAGCAUGUAGGGUGAUUGCUUAUGCUUCACGAGUUAUAAGGAUUAUGGAGAAGAAUUAUCCUACGCAUGAUUUGGAACUUGCGCAGGUGGUUUUUGCUUUGAAGCUCUGGCGGGCAUUACCUACUGCGAGCACUGCGAGGUUUUCAGGCGACCAUCAAAGUCUCAAGUAUCUGUUUUACACAGAAGGAGCUGAAUCUGAGGCCAAGUCCGGUGUGUUAGAAUUACUGAAGGACUAUGACAUUAGUAUUCAGUAUCAUCUGGCAAGGCGAAUGUGGUGGCAGAUGCGUUGAGCAGAAAGUCAGUGCAGAGCCUGAGUUUGAGGAUUACUGGAGCAGAAGACCCAUACUCGAGGAGCUACAGCGGCUGGGACUCGAGAUAGUACCCUGGGUCUACGGCGAGGCUGAUGUUCUAGUACUACUGCCCACUCUGUUGGAUAGGAUCCAGAGAGAAACAGAGGUGAGGAUCCGCACUUUUUGAGGGUUAUAGAGAGCAGCUAGACAGGGGGCAGACUGAGUGAGGGAUUUGCUUUGGACAGUUCGAGAGUACUACGGUACAGGGACGACUGUGUGAGUGUGUGAUCCGGAGGUUCGGAGCGGAUAUUUGAGAGAGGCAUCAUUGUUCCCGAUAUACGGUUUCACCCUGGAGGAACCAAGAUGUAUAAGGAUUUAAGGCACAUUCUGGUGGCCUGAAUGAAGAGGGACUUGCAGAUAUGUGCUCGAGUGAUUUGACUUUGCACAGCGUGAAGGCGCCGAGCAUCAGGUGCACUGCGGGGCAAGCUUCAGAGUUCUGCAGUUCGCCGAGGAAGUGGGAGCACAUCACGAUGGACUUCGUCGUUGGAUUGCUAGAGCGCAGGGUGGCUACGACGCCGAUUCGUGGGUGAAUAGUGGACAGACUGACCAAGUCUGCUCACUUCCUACUGGUUCAGAUUACCUGGUCUAGGGAGAGACUUGCGCAGCUAUACUUGAAUGAGAUCGUUAGGCUGCACGGCGUGCCAGUGUCGAUUGUAUCAGAUAGAGACCCGAGGUUCGUAUCCCAGUUUUGGAGGACUCUACAAACAGCCUUGGGCACUCAGCUGCAUUUCAGCACAGCAUUCCACCCACACACAGAUGGUUAGUCAGAGCGGACCAUACAGACUCUAGAGGACAUGCUGAGGGCAUGCGUCCUGGAUUUUGGAGGAGGGUGGUAUCGACAUGUGAGACUGGUUGAGUUUGCGUACAACAACAGCUAUCAAACGAGCAUUCAGAUGGCUCCGUUUGAGGCGUUGUAUGGACGCAGAUGUCGAUCCCCCAUGUUUUGGAGUGAUGUGGGUGAGCGGAGGAUACUUGGACCGGAGAUUUUACUUGAGGCUGAGGAAAAGGUGAGAGUCGUUUGACGACACCUUUUGACAGCUCAGAGCCGACAGAGGAGCUACGCCGAUACUCGGAGACGAGACUUAGAGUUUCAGGUUGGAGACCAUGUUUUUCUCAAAGUCUCGCCGUCCAGAGGGAUACGCCGAUUUGGAGUACGUGGAAAGCUUAGCCCACGGUUUGUUAGCCCUUUCGAGGUAUUGUAGCGUAUCGGACCGGUUGCUUACAGGAUAGCCCUACCCCCGCGACUUGCUGGUAUCCACGAUGUGUUCCACGUCUCGGCUUUGAGGAGAUACGUUUUCGAUCCCUCUCAUGUGAUUGACUUCACUCCACUUAUGAUUGGCGAGGAUCUGAGAUACGAGGAGCGACCGUUGCGGAUUCUUGCUCGUGAGACGAAAGAAUUGCGCAACCGGGUCAUCCCGUAUGUGAAAGUGCAGUGGAGUAAUCAUGAUGAGCGGGAGGCGACUUGGGAGUCUGAGACGGUGAUGAGGGAAGCCUAUCCCUACUUGUUUGACGCCUGAGUAGAGGUACGUUCAGUUUCGCGGACGAAACUUUUUGUAGAGGGGGAGGAUGUGAGAUCCCUGGUGUUUGACUGUGGAGGCUUGCCGACAGCUCUGGAGAGUGUCGGGACAAGUCCGAGUCACGUUGGCGUCAAAUAGACGUAAAACGGACUCCGUGCGACGCGAGGGCAGCUUAUAGCGAAGAAAUCUGCAAAAUUGCAGAUUUCUCUGCUUGCUGUACCGGUACAACCAGCGUGGCUGUACCGGUACAACCAUCGCGCAGAGGAUUAGCAGCUCUCGGGUUGGCUCUUGUACCGGUACAAGAGCCCGUGUACCGGUACAAGGGGGUAGGUAGAGAGUUAAUUUAGUAAUUCUUUCCCUCGUUUGUAUCACCACUCCACCGACCUCUUUAUACAGACGUAGAGAGCUUGAGAAGGAGUUCUAUUGCUGCUCCUUUUUCCCCUCUCCCUCUCUAGCUUGGUUUGACCGUGGAGGAGUUCGGUUGGAGCUCGGAUUCGACACCGACGUCGCGCCGCGAAGCCGUUCGGGGAUACGGUUGGGAUCGUAGUGCAGCGAGGAAGCUAGGCGAGGGUGCGUUUUUGCCGUUCUCGACGCCGUGUCGCUGACCGAUUAGCCGUUGAGGUGAGCGUUCCGUUGCGUUGCUUCAAGUAUUGACAUUUCGAGCUAGGUGCUGUUUGCUGAUUCCCAUCGUCGACCGUUAGUUUUUCAGCUCGUUCUCGACAUAGGAGCAUCGGAUUGCGACGGGACUUGGUUCGUUGGAUUCGGGACUUCGAGAGGAAUCCACGAAGCCCUUACUUGCUGGAUUCGGUGAAGGUUAGCUUGGUCGAAUCUCCGUUGUACCUCACUGCUGAAAUUUCUGGGCUGAAUGGUGACUUGUGUUGUGUAGGGCGUAGAGUUAGCUCGAUUUUUGGACUCGACGGAUUCCGGGUGAUCCAGCAGGUCGCUCUACACCAGUGGAAGUCUUUCGCUGCUAGGGAUUAGCUUUUUGGAGGUGGGUUACAUCGGUUUUGACUCCUAAGCUCAUAAUCGUCAACAUGUAUAGAUCUCUAUUUUGAUAAUUUAUUCUAGCUCGAAUUCAUGGAUUAUAUGAUAGAAUGCAAAUCUGAAUUUGGAGCAUGUGGUAAUAAAUUAAGUAGAUUAUAUAUGUUGGACUUGGAAACUGAAUUAGGAGAAAACCUGCGAUUUGGACCUGUCACUUGAUUAAACUGCCUGAUUUAGCUCUAGGAGCCGAUAUUAAAUUGUACUGUCGAAGUAUCUUCGAGACGAGUACUUCAGGUAGUUUAGAAUAUAUUUUUGCUCGUGCUGGUGUGCCGAGUGGAUUUUUACAGGGUCGUUCAGGUUGUUCCGGAUUGUUGGGUGCCGUCAGAAUUGAUGGUGGACCCGUAUCGCCUUUUUGGCGUCAAAUUGUGCUGAGGGCACGUUACCUGUUGGUUGUUAGACCAGUUUGAGUCGAUUACUUGACUUUGGCUAGUUGGAGCCUGAUUGAGCUCGACAGAGAUACGCUGCAUACUCGGUUGGGUAGCGCCCACGAGUGCCACUCCGGAGUCAGGCUUGUGCUUUUGCGUUGGUGUCGCUCAUGCCAGUUGGACUUGCUCUCCACGGACCAGUUAGUGUGGAUAGAGCCUGAUAGUCGCAACGGGGCAGGGACGGGUGUAUUCACAGUCCCGGGGACGGGUAUGCUUACAGUCCCGAUUUGGAUUGGGUCAGACUUGACAUUUCCUACAGUUGGUUAGUGUAGAGCAUGAUAGUGUAGUGGAUGAUAGCGGUAGAGUAUGCUUCCUGCUUUCCUUCUAUCCUUGCUCCCUUCUGUAGACUUAGUGGGUGACCGAUGUUGUUUUGGGC
rnacentral:lncRNA from 1 species